UGCGGAGGGAUCAUUACACAAAUAUGAAGGCGGGCUGGAACCUCUCGGGGUUACAGCCUUGCUGAAUUAUUCACCCUUGUCUUUUGCGUACUUCUUGUUUCCUUGGUGGGUUCGCCCACCACUAGGACAAACAUAAACCUUUUGUAAUUGCAAUCAGCGUCAGUAACAAAUUAAUAAUUACAACUUUCAACAACGGAUCUCUUGGUUCUGGCAUCGAUGAAGAACGCAGCGAAAUGCGAUAAGUAGUGUGAAUUGCAGAAUUCAGUGAAUCAUCGAAUCUUUGAACGCACAUUGCGCCCUUUGGUAUUCCAAAGGGCAUGCCUGUUCGAGCGUCAUUUGUACCCUCAAGCUUUGCUUGGUGUUGGGCGUCUUGUCUCUAGCUUUGCUGGAGACUCGCCUUAAAGUAAUUGGCAGCCGGCCUACUGGUUUCGGAGCGCAGCACAAGUCGCACUCUCUAUCAGCAAAGGUCUAGCAUCCAUUAAGCCUUUUUUUCAACUUUUGACCUCGGAUCAGGUAGGGAUACCCGCUGAACUUAAGCAUAUC
rnacentral:rRNA from 3 species